rnacentral:rRNA from 1 species
GCACAAGUGGUGGUCGAUGUAGACUUUUUCGAAGCCACGUGAAAAACCUUCCUACCCUUGACAUGUCUGGAAAGCCGAAGAGAUUUGGCCGUGCUCAGCAAGAGAACCUGAACACAGGUGCUGCAUGGCUGUCGUCAGCUCGUGUCGUGAGAUGUUGGGUUAAGUCCCGCAACGAGCGCAACCCUUCUCAUUAGUUGCUACGCAAGAGCACUCUAAUGAGAUUGGCGGUGACAACCCGGAGCAAGGUGGGGAUGCCGUCAAGUCCUCAUGGCCCUUAUGGGUAGGGCUUCACACGUCAUACAAUGUGUCGCGACAGAGGGUCGCCAACCCGCGAGGGGGAGCCAAUCUCAGAAACCCGAUCGUAGUCCGGAUCGCAGUCUGCAACUCGACUGCGUGAAGUCGGAAUCGCUAGUAAUCGCGGAUCAGAAUGUCGCGGUGAAUACGUUCCCGGGUCUUGUACACACCGCCCGUCACACCAUGGGAGUGGGUUUCACCAGAAGUAGGUAGCCUAACCGUAAGGAGGGCGCUUACCACGGUGGGAUUCAUGACUGGGGUGAAGUCGUAACCAAGGGCC